UACGGAGGGAGCUAGCGUUGUUCGGAAUUACUGGGCGUAAAGCGCACGUAGGCGGCUUUGUAAGUUAGAGGUGAAAGCCCGGGGCUCAACCCCGGAAUUGCCUUUAAGACUGCAUCGCUUGAAUCCAGGAGAGGUGAGUGGAAUUCCGAGUGUAGAGGUGAAAUUCGUAGAUAUUGGGAAGAACACCGAUGGCGAAGGCAGCCAUCUGGACCGACACUGACGCUGAGGCGCGAAAGCGUGGGGAGCAAACAGG
rnacentral:rRNA from 1 species